UAGAGUGAAUGCCAGUCCAGUGUUCUGAGUAAAGGUGGAGUUGAUAGACGUAUCAAUGCGUGCGGUGAUAGUAUCGGUUCAAGGAUAACGAGAAUAAGCAGUACCGUGAUGAUAUAAAAAAAUAGUGUGAAGAAUAAUGUCUUUUUACCAGAUUUCAUCGAUAAGAAAUGCUAUAUUUAACGACACCGUCAGCGUUUUGGGAAGUAAGCAACUUAUAUGGGCCUAGUGAUUAUGUUAAGACAGGGAACGUUAACUUGUACCGUGUGGUCGGACGAACAAUCUGUCAGAAUGGAGACAUUUGAACGGCCCCUACACAUCAUAGAAACAAUGUGACUGUCAGAUUUUCAUCGCCAUCACCAUAACCGUCUUCAAGACUUAUUUUUGUUGGCCCUCGUUGACUGCGUAUAAAGUAUCCUGUGCUAGUGAUGAGAGACACCGGCUUUUUUUUUAACGUCAAAGACAUUGCAAAUCGUCGCCAUUGGCCAUGCAGAUGAAGACUUACAAAAAGUCUGUUAUCAAUAUCUAAUUUCCCCACCGGCAACUACAGACUGCUAAGUUACCCUUGAAACGGUCUAUAACCCCGAGGGAGUGGUGCUAACCUUCGAUCACAUGAAAGCGUUUAAAGAAGGGUAGCCCUCCAGACGACUUAUAGGAUCUCCAUCAUGAAAAUGUUGCCCUGCAACCGAAAUAGCCUACAUCAAUUCAACCGUAGUAGACCUAACCAGACGUUUCGUGUGAACGAUUUCUGGUGACGUGACAAGUACUUCGUGAGAUCGAAUUGAACUGUGGUUGAUAUAAUGUAGGACAGCCGUCGCUUUCUCCCGGCUGAUGAUACCAGAGAGCGAGGAGGAAUGGAUGUCAGUGUCUGAAGAGUUUGAUCGGAAAUGGGACUUUCCUCACUACCUCGGAGCUAUUGAUGGAAAACAUGUUAAAAUUACAAAGCCAUAUAACUCUGGUUCUUACUACUAUAAUUAUAAAGGUACUUUUAGUGUAGUUUUAAUGGCUAUAGUUAAUGCCAAAUGUCAGUUCCUUAUGGUACAUAUAGGAACAAAUGGAAGAGUCUCAGAUGGGGGUGUUUAUGGAAACACAAGAUUUAGUCAGGACUUAACAGAGGAUAAACUACACAUUCCUGCACCUAGCCCUCUACCAGGAACAACUGAUCCUGUUCCUUCAUGUUUUAAUAAGGGAUGAUACGUUCCCUCUGUUGGAGAAUAUCAUGAAGCCAUAUAGUCAUGCCAAUCUUACUAAAGAACAACAGAUAUACAAUUAUAGGGCGUCACGAGCCAGAAAUGUAGUGGAAAGGACCUUUGGCAUGUUGUCAUCUAGGUUUCGUAUUUACACUCGACAAUCAAUCUAUCCCCAACUAAAGUGUCCAAAAUAAUCCUUGCAUGUUGCUACUUGCAUAAUUAUAUGAGUGGAGAUGGAGAACAAUAUGUAGAAAGUAUCAGUAGAAGGCAGCUCAUAUUUUUUGAACUAACUGUUCAACAGUCUUCAUUGUCAGCCAAGGAUGUACGCAAUAAGUAUUGUCAGUAUUUCAAUGGCCCAGGAUGGAUGCCCUAGCAAGUAUGUAGGAUCACAUGGAAGUUAUAGCUGAACUAGAGUUUAUAUAGCUUGAUUACAUAUUGUUUAGGGUAGCUGUGCAUUAUGUUCUCGUACAUGGUACUCUUGUGCUUUACAAAUUCUAGCAAAUUAGCUAA